UUUUCGCUCUGCCAUCAGAAAGUCUUGAAAGCUGCAAAACACGACAUCUGUGUAUUCUGUCUGUUAGUAAAUAAAUGUACCGGAUUGAAGAUGAAUUAUUUAAAAAAAAAUAUUUUAGUGACCUGGAAAUGGGAACGCAUGAAAGCGAUUUCAUAUAAUUUGACAAGGAAGUUCAAUUCUAGAAAUAAUCUUUGCUAUGCUCAACCGACUCCUGUUUCUCAUGCCCAUUUGCUAAAGUCGAACGAAGUCACUCCCGGAUUAUCAGUGGAUGUUUAUCAAUGCAGGAGGACACGUUUAAUGCAAGUGAUCUCUCAAAUGACUUUUGCUGAAAUGAAUAAAAGUGCACAUAUUGUGAUUGUGCCAUCGGGAUCUGUAGUUUAUAUGAGUGAAAAUAUACCAUAUCCCUUUCGUCAGAAUACUGAAUUCCUAUACUUAAGUGGUUUUAAAGAAGCAAACUGUGUUUUAAUUUUGCACACUGUGUUGAACAAAUCUCCUGCUUACGAAUGUACCCUUUUUGUGCCAAAGCAAACAGCUCAUUCAACGAGAUGGGAAGGCUUAAAAAUGGACUUGAAUAAUACCAAAAAGUUCUUAGGCAUUGACAGAACUAUGUAUGUAGAUGAUAUUGAAAACUUUCUGCAGUCUUUUGCAGAAUCGAAUAAUAAAUUUGUAUUGUGGUAUGAUUACUUAAGUUUACCUUUUAAACCAAUUCAUGAUAUAAUGCGGGAUUUUAUGGCACAUUAUAACACUCACUUUUCUCUUGAAUCCCCACGUAAACUUCUGCAUCAACUUCGUGUUAUCAAAUCUAGUUCUGAAGCUGAAUUAAUGAGAAAAACUUGUAAGAUAGCAGCAGAAUCUAUGAGAGAGGUGAUGCAGUUUUCUCGUCCUCUAAUUUCAGAAGCACAUUUGUAUGCAAAGAUGGAUUAUGAGUGUCGUAUGAGGGGUGCAGAUCAUCUUGCCUUUCCUCCUGUAGUAGCUGGUGGAGACAGAGCAAAUACAAUUCAUUAUAACGAAAAUAAUCAAAUUAUAAAUGAUGGUGAUAUGGUUUUAAUGGAUGCUGGCUGUGAAUGUCAUGGUUAUAGUAGUGAUAUGGCACGAACAUGGCCAGUAAAUGGAAAGUUUUCAGAACCACAAAAAGAACUUUAUGAAGUUGUUCUAUCAGUACAAGAAGAAUUAAUUAAAUUAUGUGAGAAGAAACUAUCUCUUGAUCAUUUAUUCAAAGUUAUGUGUGAAAACUUGGGAAAGGGCUUUCAGGAUUUAGGACUUAUACCAACAACUGCUUCGAGAGAAGAAGUUGCUCAGGUCUUCAUUUUGGAUCCAAAAACCCCUUCACUCAGACGAUUAAAGAAGUCAAACAUUGCUUAGCAAAAGAGCUUUAAAGUUCUCUUAAUGCUUAAUACCAAGACACAGUGCUGAAGCUUUUCUAACAUUGUAUCCAAAUGUACAGGUUUUUAUUCCUUCCACUGAACACCACUUUCUUAACCCAACCAACGGAUCAAGCAGUCAAAAAAAUCAAGCGUAUUAUCCUUUUACAUCUUUGCAAAUAAACAAGAUGAAGGAAAGCAUGACUCACUAAUGGUUUUGGGAAACAAUUCGACAUAAGACACUGCAUAGAACAUUUGAAUUCAUAUGGGAACAAGUGAAUUUCAUCAACAAUGAAUGCUUUCUGCCAUUAGCUCUGGGCAGAAGUUGCCAGCAAUUUUAAAGGAAUCCAUCAACUGAAAAUGAAGCCAACGAAAUCAUACAAUCUGCAAAAGCAAUUGGCAGUAAAGGACUUUCAGAGAGGGAGGGAGGAAAAAUCAAAGAAUUCAUUAUGAGAUGAAAAAUUGGAUGAUCUUAUAACAUUAACAGGCAGUGAAAGCAACAAUAGUAAAGAAAAUAAAGAUCCUUUAGUGGACAAAAAGUUAAACAAAUGUUAAAAAAUUCACAGGAAUGAUUUUGUUGUGGAGUUUGACCCAAAUGAAAAAAGAAGAGGAUGCUUUUUAAGAGGCAGCAUACGAGUUCUGCCCACACCAUGUUAGCCACUACUUAGGGAUGGAUGUUCAUGAUACAAAUCUAAUUUCCCGUGGAAUUAAACUUUUGCCUGGAAUGGUAGUCACCAUUGAACCUGGCGUGUAUGUUUCACCAAAU